rnacentral:rRNA from 1 species
AGAACGAACGCUGGCGGCAUGCCUAAUACAUGCAAGUCGAACGAACUCUUCGGAGUUAGUGGCGCACGGGUGCGUAACGCGUGGGAAUCUGCCCCUUGGUUCGGAAUAACAGUUGGAAACGACUGCUAAUACCGGAUGAUGACGAAAGUCCAAAGAUUUAUCGCCAAGGGAUGAGCCCGCGUAGGAUUAGCUAGUUGGUGAGGUAAAGGCUCACCAAGGCAACGAUCCUUAGCUGGUCUGAGAGGAUGAUCAGCCACACUGGGACUGAGACACGGCCCAGACUCCGUACGGGAGGCAGCGAGGUAGGGAAUAGUUAGGACAAGUGGGCGAAAGCCUAGAUCCGAGACAAGUCGACCGCGGUGAGUGAGUAGGAAGGCCGUUAAGGUUAGUAAAGCUUACGUUUACCGAG